rnacentral:rRNA from 1 species
CGGAUAUUGGGCGUAAAGAGCUCGUAGGCGGUUUGUCGCGUCUGCUGUGAAAUCUGGAGGCUCAACCUCCAGCCUGCAGUGGGUACGGGCAGACUAGAGUGCGGUAGGGGAGAUUGGAAUUCCUGGUGUAGCGGUGGAAUGCGCAGAUAUCAGGAGGAACACCGAUGGCGAAGGCAGAUCUCUGGGCCGUUACUGACGCUGAGGAGCGAAAGGGUGGGAGCAAACAGGCUUAGAUACCCUGGUAGUCCACCCCGUAAACGUUGGGAACUAGUUGUGGGGUCCAUUCCACGGAUUCCGUGACGCAGCUAACGCAUUAAGUUCCCCGCCUGGGGAGUACGGCCGCAAGGCUAAAACUCAAAGGAAUUGACGGGGACCCGCACAAGCGGCGGAGCAUGCGGAUUAAUUCGAUGCAACGCGAAGAACCUUACCAAGGCUUGACAUAUACGAGAACGGGCCAGAAAUGGUCAACUCUUUGGACACUCGUAAACAGGUGGUGCAUGGUUGUCGUCAGCUCGUGUCGUGAGAUGUUGGGUUAAGUCCCGCAACGAGCGCAACCCUCGUUCUAUGUUGCCAGCACGUAAUGGUGGGAACUCAUGGGAUACUGCCGGGGUCAACUCGGAGGAAGGUGGGGAUGACGUCAAAUCAUCAUGCCCCUUAUGUCUUGGGCUUCACGCAUGCUACAAUGGCCGGUACAGUGGGCAGCGAUACCGUGAGGUGGAGCGAAUCCCAAAAAGCCGGUCCCAGUUCGGAUUGAGGUCUGCAACUCGACCUCAUGAAGUCGGAGUCGCUAGUAAUCGCAGAUCAGCAACGCUGCGGUGAAUACGUUCCCGGGUCUUGUACACACCGCCCGUCAAGUCAUGAAAGUCGGUAACACCUGAAGCCGGUGGCCUAACCCCUUGUGGGAGGGAGCU